GGCGAGAUGGCCGAGCGGUCUAAGGCGCCAGACUAAGGUCAAGCGACCAGCAUUCAGUUGAGUGCUCAAAUUGGGAAGUCCUCCUUCCUAAUCUGGUCCGAAAGGGCGUGGGUUCGAAUCCCACUCUCGUCA
rnacentral:tRNA from 1 species